AGAGUUUGAUCCUGGCUCAGGAUGAACGCUAGCGGCAGGCCUAAUACAUGCAAGUCGAACGCUCAGUAGCAAUACUGGGAGUGGCGCACGGGUGCGUAACGCGUACACAAUCUACCUCUAAGCGGGGGACACCUCCUGGAAACGGGGAUUAAUACCGCAUAAUAUGCCGAAGUCGCAUGACUUUGGUAUUAAAGCAGCAAUGCACUUAGAGAUGAGUGUGCGUCCUAUUAGGUAGUUGGUGAGGUAACGGCUCACCAAGCCUAUGAUGGGUAGCCGGUCCGAGAGGAUGGUCGGCCACACGGGCACUGAGACACGGGCCCGACUCCUACGGGAGGCAGCAGUAAGGAAUAUUGGUCAAUGGUGGAAACACUGAACCAGCCAUGCCGCGUGGAGGAAUAAGGUCCUACGGAUUGUAAACUCCUUUUGACGAGGAAGAAAAUGUUAGAUUUAUCUAAUUUUGACGGUACUCGUAGAAUAAGCACCGGCUAACUCCGUG
rnacentral:rRNA from 1 species